CCUACGGGAGGCAGCAGUAGGGAAUAUUGCUCAAUGGGGGAAACCCUGAAGCAGCAACGCCGCGUGGAGGAUGAAGGUUUUAUGAUUUUAAACUCCUUUUUUUAGAGAAGAUAAUGACGGUAUCUCACGAAUAAGCACCGGCUAACUCCGUGCCAGCAGCCGCUGUAAUACGGAGGGUGCAAGCGUUACUCGGAAUCACUGGGCGUUAAGAGUGCGCAGGCGGGCUUGUAAGUAAGAUGUGAAAUCCUGUAGCUUAACUACAGAACUGCAUUUGAUACUAUGAGUCUAGAGUGUGGGAGAGGUAGGUGGAAUGCUUGGUGUAGGGGUAAAAUGCGUAGAUAUCAAGAAGAAUACUGAUUGCGAAGGCGACAUACUGGAACAUUACUGACGCUGAUGCACGAAAGCGUGGGGAGCAAACAGGAUUAGAUACCCCAGUAGUC
rnacentral:rRNA from 1 species